UUUAAAAAUUUGGGCUUAACUUGUACAAAUUUAACUUGGGAAAAUUACAUAAUUCCAGGUGUUUAAAGAUUACAAUUCAAAGAUCAAGGUUGAAGUUUCACUAUUCAUAAAUCAGUCUCUCCCAUCUCUCCAUCACAAUCGCCGUCGAAAAUUCUUGAUUCCUCCGAGGCACACUCAAUUCUCAAGCAAUGGCACUAAGAGAGAGAGAGAGAGAAGAGAUCCGUGGGUAAGUGAAGACGGUGGCCCAUCGAAGGUCACUCUCCAGACCUCCAUGGGCUCCUUCACAGUUGAGGUGACUACUCUCUUCACACAAAUCCAUCUGUAUUAGUACAUUUUUCAUGCUCUACUGUUAUAUUUUUUUUUCCUAAUUGAUGAUACAAAAAUUCAUGAAAAUAUGGUAGAUGUACUACGACCAUGCACCCAAGACUUGCAAGAACUUCAUAGAGUUGGCUCGCAGAGGCUAUUACGAUAAUGUCAAAUUCCACAGAAUCAUUAAGAUCUCUUUGUUUGUAUAGCUAAUCGCUAUUCAUAUUUGUAUAUGUAAACAUUUCUAAUUUUGAACUGAUAAUUUUUAUGUGAUAUUGGAGUUUAGGAUUUUAUAGUGCGAGGUGGGGAUCCAACUAGGACUGGCAGGGGUGGCAAAUCAAUUUAUGGGAUUUUUAUAGAUCACCUAUUUAUGGUGUGGUGAUGGUGGUGCAGUGGAUCUAGGUAGGACGACGGUGGUGGUGAUGGUAGCGACGGUGCUUACGUUGGCAGUGAUGAUUGUGGUUGUGGUGUGUUGGAGAUGAAUGGCUGGUGACAGUGUCAAUGGCGUGGUUGAAUUGUUGGUGGUGUAGGUGCUAGCACGAUGUUGCUACAAUGAUGGUAAGUUGGUGCUUGGUUUCAAUGGUGCUGGUAGUAUUUGUGUCCAAUUAUAUAUGUUGUUCGGUUGGUGCCAUCAUGGUGGCAAUUUUGGUGGUGUGUGUUGGUUUGUUUUUGUCGGGAGGCGGCGGCGGCGACAGCGAUUGUGAUGGUGUUGUGGUCGGGGUAGUGUUUGUGACCAGGUAUUAUGGUGGAUCGGGAUUGGGUGUUUGGCGUCUGUGACCAAUUAUUUGGUCCUCUGUGACUGUAUUAAUCCUUGAUUUUAAGAUUCUAUCAUUUUGUAACUAAAAAAGUAAUCCGUGACUAUCAAAUUUAAAAAUACGUGACAUGUGACUUAUAAUUUUUUUAA